rnacentral:rRNA from 1 species
CAGUCUCAGUUCGGAUUGAAGGCUGAAAUUCGCCUUCAUGAAGCCGGAAUUGCUAGUAAUGGCAGGUCAGCAUACUGCCGUGAAUACGUUCCCGGGCCUUGUACACACCGCCCGUCACACCAUGAGAGUCGGGAACACCCGAAGUCCGUAGUCUAACCGCAAGGGGGGCGCGGCCGAAGGUGGGUCCGGUAAUUGGGGUGAAGUCGUAACAAGGUAUC